GAUGAAGAACGCAGUGAAAUGCGAUAAGUAAUGUGAAUUGCAGAAUUCAGUGAAUCAUCGAAUCUUUGAACGCACAUUGCGCCCGCCAGUAUUCUGGCGGGCAUGCCUGUUCGAGCGUCAUUACAACCCUCAGGCCCCCGGGCCUGGCGUUGGGGAUCGGCGGAAGCCCCCUGCGGGCACAACGCCGUCCCCCAAAUACAGUGGCGGUCCCGCCGCAGCUUCCAUUGCGUAGUAGCUAACACCUCGCAACUGGAGAGCGGCGCGGCCACGCCGUAAAACACCCAACUUCUGAAUGUUGACCUCGAAUCAGGUAGGAAUACCCACUGAACUUAAGCAUAUCAAUAAGCGGAGGA
rnacentral:misc_RNA from 1 species